AGACAGGAAGAGCUGAAGCACUUACUGAAGAGGUCCAGCUGUGAGUCUUUCCUCUUGACCCUUGUUGGAGACAUCACCCAGAGUGGGUGAGUGGGCUGUGUGCACAGGACUUCCUGAGGAAGAGCCAAGUCAAAGAGAGUUUCGAAUCACGUUCAAAGUCUCCACUCUUAUCUUCAAACAGCUCCAUGGUCUUGGCCCAAGAUAGCUAAUAGACAGUUUAAAGCUCCAGGACGAAGCCGUGAUCGACAACUUCCCUCUUCUAGCAUGAUGAAACUCUCAACAAUGAGAGUAAAGCCUAUCUGGGCAGGCGAGACAGCACCUUCUCCAAGGGCAGUUUGAGACUGUGGCAUGUACUCCCUCCAGGACUAUCCCAAACCUCACCACUUUCCAUACAAGUGCAAGGUGCAUUUCUUUGACCAGGCCUUCUCUAAUGUAACCACAUAGCAACAGGUAUAUUGAACAAAUCCCCAUCAAAACAGGACAGAUUCCUCUAGAUUCUAGAUUCCUCUCUCUCUGGGAUGAGGCUGAGAGAACAGACACGUGAUAUGUGCAGUCACAUUGCUUAAUGCACUACAGGAAGGUGCUCGGAUAUUAUGGUGAUGAGUGUGGCAUAAAAAUCUCUAAUCUUCA